GAGCUGCUUGGGGGCCCAGAGCACCUGGGGAGGGACGGAGCUGGGCUUUGAGAGCAAAAGGAUCUGGUGUUCCCAUGGACAGCACGCUGGGAUGCAGGGUUGCUCCUGCCCUUCUCAUGGCAAGGUGAGGUUGGGGAUGCAUGGAUUGGUGAGCAGGUGGAUGGGAAGGUACAGAUGCCAGGAUCUGCCCAGGGUGCAGCUCAGUUUGGGGAAGGGUUGAAAGGUUCAGCAUGGGGACAAAUCUUGUGUUUCCAGCUCUGAGGACUCCCAUGCCAGCAGCACCCAGGUGCUGUGUGUGAGGAGAAGGGAGACCCAUGAGUACCCCCUUCCUCGUGGGUGUGUAGGGUGGAUGGCAUGGGAGGAAGGGGCUGGGGCCAUCCCAGGGCUGCCGCCACUGCAGCCUAACGCCUGGCCUGAAUUUGAGCACAAGGGGCUGCUCUGGCUGAAAUGUCACAGCUCUGACCAUGUCCGUGUUUCUGAGAUGAAACAUCUACUGUUUCUAAGCAAUGGUGAUUGAAAAGGCUGCAAACAACAACUGUUGGCAUUGGAGCCAUGGAGAUGGAGGGGACUGAGCAUCCUAAGCUUUCCAUAGCAGAGGGGAGCAGCAAGGUGCAGCUCCUGAUGGCUCCCAUGGUGGAGACAUCUGCUACGGAAAAUCACCUCCUUGGGACCCCUCCAGCCAUGCUCCACUGCUGCUGUCUCCCACCCUGUCCCCUUGGGUGCAGGCACCACAGCGUCAGCAAAGCCCAGUCCCUCCGUGGGAGCAUCCCUCCCUGGGAAGGACCUGGCCUGCUUCAGUCCCUCCACUGCAGGGGAGCACUGCUGGUCCCUGGGCAGCUCCACGGAAGGACGCUGCUCCUCCCUUAGUGGCAUGGAACAAGCUGUGGAUUAGCUCUCCCUGCGGAGCGUUUCAGGUUGCUGGUUUUCUGUACCAGCCUGUGGCUGCACAGUGUGUAAUUCAUGAUCAAUUUACUUGAAGUUAAAAUACAAAGGAAGGGAGGAAAAGGGGAAAAAAAAAAGGGCUUUCAGCUUAGCAGCUGGUACUGCCUCAAUAGCUGCCACUGUGGGCGAUCAAACUACACUUCACAAUCCAAUAUCUGACGUUAUUUCUUAGCCUCACUUGGUUCAGUUUCACCUCCAUCCUGGACAAAUAUUGACAAAGCUCUCAUAAUCCCGCUGGUGCCGUUGCAGAGAACUCUAUUUUGCUUGCAGCACACUUGGAGCCAUCUCAGUAUCCCCACUGGGAGCCGAGAGAGGAGCAUGAAUUUAGAUUCAAAGGGGAUGAGUGGCAGCUUACAGACCCCCUGCAGCCCAGGUGUCCUCCACGAGCAAAGCUGGCUCCAGGCUGUGAUGUUCUGAGCUUGAGCCCGAGGCUUAGGGUAAGACAAGAAGGUCUCCACUUGUUGCUGCUUAUGCACAAGAUAGCUCUGGGUGCAUGCAUGGUGCUCGUGCUGAGCUGGUGUCUUGUUCAUCACCAGUCGGUGUUCAGACUGUGUCGGCUGUCCCUUGGGUACCCGGGGUACCAUGAUUGACUGUGUCCUUCUGGGGUGUUGGUCUGUGCCCCAAUGAGUAGAGCUGGGCCAGAACUUGGGUCAUGGAGGAAAAAUCCCAGCACUCGGAUGGGAAAACCCAGCUCUGCUGCAGGGAACACUGCACCCCUGAGCGCCUCAGCAAAGCUCCAAGCAAUCAUGAAAACACAGAAUGGUUGGGUUAGGAGGGGCUUCAAAAAUCAUCCAGUUCCAGCCCCUUGCCUUGGCAGGAAUGCAAAGGGUCCUUCUCACCCAGGGUGGUCACCAUCGUGUCACCCACUGCCACCCCGUGUCCCACUGCAGGUCUGCAGCAGGAUGGGGGCAUUGUCCCCAGUGCUUCUGCCAUCAACCUCUUGCACCUUGCCCUCACCCACCUCCAUUCGAAACGGGGGUUCUCAUGCAAUGAGGCAGCUGGGUUUCACAUUGACCACAUCGGUAGCACUGUCACCAUCCAGGGAUCAGCGCUGGGGCGCAGAGAUGGAUGUGCUGAGCUGGGGAUGAUGGAUGGGAGCGUGGAUGGCAGCGGGGCAGCAGUGGAAGGGAAAACUGAUCAGAUCGACUGCUUAAUGGCUUCAUAACGUCAGGGUCUUGUUGGCAGCGCCUGGCAGCUCAUUUUUAAUGACAGCAUUCCUGAGCUCAACCCCAGAGUGCAGCUGCCUGGGAAGCCUGAAACUCAGAGAGCAGCUCUGAGGCUGGAAGCGAGCUGAUGUGAGUCAAACAGUGCUCCUUUUUGUGGCAUCACAUGGACUUGGCCCCACGGAGAGAGCCUCUUGAUCCACCUCUGUCCUGCCCCGAUGGGGCACAGUGUUAUUUAGCACAGAAUGGUUGGGAUGAGAGGGACCUUCAUGAUCAUCCAACCCUACCCGUGGGCAGGGGUGCCUCCCCCAGCUCAGGCUGCCCAGGGCCCCUCCAUGGCCUCGGGCACCUCCAGGAAUGGGGCACCCACAGCUCUGGGCAGCAGUGCCAGCGCCGUGCUGCCCUCAGAGCGAAAAGUAUCUUCUAUAUAUCCAAACCUUCCCUUCUCCAGGCUGAACACCCCCUGCUCCCUCAGCCUGUCUCCAUAGGAGAAGUGCUCCAGCCCUGAGAGCAUCCCUGUGUCCCCCUCCGGCCCCGCUCUGACAGCCCCAAACCUUUCAGCAGUUCAGGUGGGCUCUCAGUUGUUCUUUCUAAGGCCAGCAGCCGCUGAGACCGCACAGCGUUGGCUGCAGGGAAGUCUUCAGCAUGGCGGUGUGCAGCAAUCCAUACUAAUUAAGACAAAUCUAAUUACCCAGGCUGCAACUCAUGCUUAACGAAUUAGAACCAGAACAUGGCAAACACAGAGAGGAAGGCGUGCUGCCAAGGUGGAGUGGUGCGCCCAGAAGCCUGCUUGGAGGAGAAGGGUUCUGGGGAAGGCAGGGCUCAAUGGCACUGUUCUGCUGGGCGUCAGCAUCAGAGGAACCUCUGAUUGUGUGACGGAGUUGUAACAGUACAGAUCUGCACAGUAAGGAGAGCUGGUGCCAAACUGUGCUCCCGGGGGAGGGAAUGUCCCUUCCCCCUUACGUUCUUAAUAUAUCCAUUACGAUUAAUAUUGUGACCGAGGAAAUACUCUUAUUACAAAUAGAUGGUGAUGGCAGAGCUGCAGAAUUAAGUGGUGCUGGGCGCCACUUAUCUGAUUAGCGGGUGCUUUCAGCAGGGCCAUUAUCCUGAUGUGUUACACCUCCCAUCACACCGACAUCAGGCUGGCUGUGUGUGAGGGGAUGAGCGAGAAGUGUUGGGCACAACCCUUGUUCCGCUGGGAAGUCCGUCUCCCAUUGCCUGGAGGACCAGGGGGCUCAAUUAGAGCCUCCCAGCAGUAAUUGAGUUGAGGACGGGGUGGGGUGAGGAGCCCACAUGCGGCCGCUAUGAGACCUCACUGAGACUGAUGGGCACGUCCUGCUCAAGCACCACCAGGCAACACUUUGGCCAUGGCCACGCUGGGCUGUGUUGUGUGACAGAGGCACCGCUGUCCCUCUUUCACCCCUCACUGCUGCCCCUCCUCUCUCACCCCCUCCGCUGCUCCUCGUGGUGCUGCCGCCGCCGGAGGGCUCCUCGCAGCAGCUCCCAAUUAAGACCUACUUAAAAUUCAAAUGCAAAUAAAUUUUUAAUUACCUUAAUUAGAAUUAUUCUCUUGUUAGAGCUGAAGGAUGGGGUCCGAAGAGCAGAAAGGGCGGGAUGUGCCUGGCCACGUUGGAGGGGACCGGGGCGGCGCCUGCAGGUUUGGAGCUGGAGCUCAGCAGCCUUUGCACCUCGGUGGGCAAAAUCCACCUAUGUGCAGGUGAGGGAAGAACCCGCCGUGUGCAGCGCUGCAGCUUAUUGCCCCGUGUGUUUGUGCUGCUGGCAGCACGCUUGUCAGCUGUGCACACGGAAUGACUUAUGCCAUCACUGCCACUGGUAGCAAUCCAGCCUGGAAUAAUGAAACAGCCAUGGCGCCCAUGAUUUAUUAAUUAGUGCCAAAGGAUUUAUGCAGGUAAGGGCAUUAUGUGAGUGGUUGGCAUGUUUUUAACCACAUUUCCUGCACUGAGAAAAAGAAUGGGCCGAUGUGCCUGGCCCAUGGGGUGCAUUCCUAUGGCUGUGGCCAGCACAGACACUGCGGCCCUUGCAGAGGUCCCCAGUGAGAGGCACCCUGGGGUCCCCAUUCACCAUGCUGAGCUCUGGGAACACUGCCCCACUGCUCUGUGCUGUAAUGCGUGGAAUCCCAGUGACUCCCCAUUUGCAGGAAGCCGAGAUGAGCUCCAGAUGAGGGCAGUGCCAUUUGCUGCAGAUGAGCGGUGCUUUGGUGGGAAUUCAAUUACACGAUUUUUCCUUGCUGCACAUCAUGCAUUCUGACGACGCAGUGGUUUCGGCACUAAUGAGAUGCGUCUUAACUGCUGUGAAGCUGUAUUUCUCCCUGCUCUUAGUACCUGGGAUCCGUAUUAAUUACAGUUUCAGUAGAGAAAAAGCCCACAGAGUCACUGCCCACACUUUACUCCCGGUAACAGCCGCCUCCUCGCAUUGCUGGGAGCGCUGCGGAUCCACUGCAGAGCUGUGGUUGGUGCCUCACAACCCCAUGGUGGUGGGAUGGAACAGUGGGGCGAGGGGUGCUCCCAGCAUGGGCGGAUGCAGCCGCACACAGUGGGAGAUGCUCAGCAUCAAAGAGACAUAGAGCUUGUUUUUAGAGGCUUCUAUUGGAAGCAGGGG
rnacentral:lncRNA from 1 species